rnacentral:rRNA from 3 species
GAAUGCUGACAUAAGUAACGAUAAAGCGGGUGAAAAGCCCGCUCGCCGGAAGACCAAGGGUUCCUGUCCAACGUUAAUCGGGGCAGGGUGAGUCGACCCCUAAGGCGAGGCCGAAAGGCGUAGUCGAUGGGAAACGGGUUAAUAUUCCCGUACUUGGUGUUACUGCGAAGGGGGGACGGAGAAGGCUAUGUUGGCCGGGCGACGGUUGUCCCGGUUUAAGCGUGUAGGUGUGUGUUCCAGGUAAAUCCGGUUCACUUUAACACUGAGGCGUGACGACGAGGCACUACGGUGCUGAAGCAACAAAUGCCCUGCUUCCAGGAAAAGCCUCUAAGCAUCAGGUAACAUCAAAUCGUACCCCAAACCGACACAGGUGGUCAGGUAGAGAAUACCAAGGCGCUUGAGAGAACUCGGGUGAAGGAACUAGGCAAAAUGGUGCCGUAACUUCGGGAGAAGGCACGCUGACACGUAGGUGAAGUGAUUUACUCAUGGAGCUGAAGUCAGUCGAAGAUACCAGCUGGCUGCAACUGUUUAUUAAAAACACAGCACUGUGCAAACACGAAAGUGGACGUAUACGGUGUGACGCCUGCCCGGUGCCGGAAGGUUAAUUGAUGGGGUCAGCGCAAGCGAAGCUCCUGAUCGAAGCCCCGGUAAACGGCGGCCGUAACUAUAACGGUCCUAAGGUAGCGAAAUUCCUUGUCGGGUAAGUUCCGACCUGCACGAAUGGCGUAAUGAUGGCCAGGCUGUCUCCACCCGAGACUCAGUGAAAUUGAACUCGCUGUGAAGAUGCAGUGUACCCGCGGCAAGACGGAAAGACCCCGUGAACCUUUACUAUAGCUUGACACUGAACAUUGAGCCUUGAUGUGUAGGAUAGGUGGGAGGCUUUGAAGUGUGGACGCCAGUCUGCAUGGAGCCGACCUUGAAAUACCACCCUUUAAUGUUUGAUGUUCUAACGUGGACCCGUUACCCGGGUUGCGGACAGUGUCUGGUGGGUAGUUUGACUGGGGCGGUCUCCUCCUAAAGAGUAACGGAGGAGCACGAAGGUUGGCUAAUCCUGGUCGGACAUCAGGAGGUUAGUGCAAUGGCAUAAGCCAGCUUGACUGCGAGCGUGACGGCGCGAGCAGGUGCGAAAGCAGGUCAUAGUGAUCCGGUGGUUCUGAAUGGAAGGGCCAUCGCUCAACGGAUAAAAGGUACUCCGGGGAUAACAGGCUGAUACCGCCCAAGAGUUCAUAUCGACGGCGGUGUUUGGCACCUCGAUGUCGGCUCAUCACAUCCUGGGGCUGAAGUAGGUCCCAAGGGUAUGGCUGUUCGCCAUUUAAAGUGGUACGCGAGCUGGGUUUAGAACGUCGUGAGACAGUUCGGUCCCUAUCUGCCGUGGGCGCUGGAGAACUGAGGGGGGCUGCUCCUAGUACGAGAGGACCGGAGUGGACGCAUCACUGGUGUUCGGGUUGUCAUGCCAAUGGCACUGCCCGGUAGCUAAAUGCGGAAGAGAUAAGUGCUGAAAGCAUCUAAGCACGAAACUUGCCCCGAGAUGAGUUCUCCCUGAGACUUAGAGUCU